rnacentral:rRNA from 1 species
CGCUGGCGGCGUGCUUAACACAUGCAAGUCGAACGGAGUAUCCUCCCGAAGAUGAGAAGCUUGCUCUGAUGAUUCAUUGGAAUACUUAGUGGCGGACGGGUGAGUAACGCGUGGGUAACCUGCCUCACACUGGGGGAUAGCAGUUGGAAACGACUGAUAAUACCGCAUAAGCACACAGUACCGCAUGGUACAGUGUGAAAAACUCCGGUGGUGUGAGAUGGACCCGCGUCUGAUUAGCUAGUUGGUGAGGUAACGGCCCACCAAGGCGACGAUCAGUAGCCGGCCUGAGAGGGUGUACGGCCACAUUGGGACUGAGACACGGCCCAAACUCCUACGGGAGGCAGCAGUGGGGAAUAUUGCACAAUGGGGGAAACCCUGAUGCAGCGAACCGCCGCGUGAGUGAUGAAGUAUCUCGGUAUGUAAAGCUCUAUCAGCAGGGAAGAUAAUGACGGUACCUGACUAAGAAGCACCGGCUAAAUACGUGCCAGCCGCCGC